AACGAACGCUGGCGGCAUGCCUAACACAUGCAAGUCGAACGAGACCUUCGGGUCUAGUGGCGCACGGGUGCGUAACGCGUGGGAACCUGCCCUUAGGUUCGGAAUAACUCCCCGAAAGGGGUGCUAAUACCGGAUAAUGUCUUCGGACCAAAGAUUUAUCGCCUUUGGAUGGGCCCGCGUUGGAUUAGCUAGUUGGUAGGGUAAAAGCCUACCAAGGCGACGAUCCAUAGCUGGUCUGAGAGGAUGAUCAGCCACACUGGGACUGAGACACGGCCCAGACUCCUACGGGAAGCAGCAGUGGGGAAUAGUGGACAAUGGGCGAAAGCCUGAUCCAGCAAGGCCGCGUGAGUGAUGAAGGCCUUAGGGUUGUAAAGCUCUUGUACCCGGGAUGAUAAUGACAGUACCGGGAGAAUAAGCUCCGGCUAACUCCGUG
rnacentral:rRNA from 1 species